AUAUGGCAGUGAUGAUAACACACUUACAGCAAACAUGCCAGUUCUGCUUCUGAGAAUUCAUGACUGAAACCUGUUAUAUUGAUCUGAGCCAUUC
rfam:Hordeum vulgare subsp. vulgare, WGS project CAJW01000000 data, contig: morex_contig_1568672